ensembl:lncRNA
CUGCUUUUCUCCUAGGAGACCGUGCAUGUCUCAGUGAAUUGGUGCUCUCAGGGUAGAGCUUCCCCUGUUGAAUAAUGAAUUAACCCCCUGAUUGAGAUCAGACGGGGAUUCUCAAAGGAUGGAUCCUUGUAGCUAGUUGAGUGCUCAUUUCUAAUCAGAAUGCAAUUGAAAACAGAAUGCAGACUCCUCUGCAUUCUAGGCCAGCACAUGACCAUCUCUCAUACCAUCAUGUGACAGAGGACACUGCCAUACCCCAAGAAGCUGACAUAAUCUUUUGUUGGGAGAAAGUUAACUCAGAGUCUAGCCAAGUUGUAAGUCUCAAUAGUUGUAUACACACAAUAGUUGUAAGUCACAGUUUCCAAAAGUACGGCUAGAUGCCUGUUGGUUCUCAGCCUUCAUGCAAGGGCAUAACCCUGUUGCUUUUUACACUGGAACAUAUGGCACAUACAGCAUGAGCUACUCAAGAUAUAAGAAGAGAAUUGGAAUAUAUAUGUUCAAUCACCAGGAGCACCAGACUAUUAGUGCUAUUAUGUGUGAAUCAAUUUCAGGAAUAUUUGAAUUAGAGCAAUGUUUUCACACCUCCUUACAUUUCACUACAUAACAGUUUCCAGAGACCACUCAGGGUUAGUAUCCUCUUGCAUUUCCUUCUGUAGAUUUAAACAUUUAAACCACCGACAUUAUAUCCCAUUUUACUGGGAACUUACAAAUAUUAUACUAUGCUGGAUGCUGGGCACUCUCCACUGAGCAUAGCUUCUGCACUUUGUUCUGGGUAUUGCUCACCGGAAAAAGAAGAAAGACUCUGAAUAGGUGUUCUUUCCUCUGUGUAUAGGCUAGCCUGAAUUUUUCUGUAUAAAAAAAUCGUUUUUCCCUAUCGUCUACUUUCAGGUCUAACAGUUUUCCUUUGCUGCUUUGGAGUGCUUACAGCCGGGGGCAGCAGAGCUUUGUCCUGGCAGCCACUCUGGUGGCUGCUGAAGGUUGGGAAUUAUGCUGCCCUGGUGUUUGCCCCCUGAUGCAGCUCAGGAGACCUCGGGCAGCUGCUCAGGUCUAUUAACAGUCACUUAAGGCAGCAGGUUGAGGGAGCUGUGCUACUAUGGGCAAAAGGGGGUGCUGAAAGAUAGAAAGGGGAUCUGCUCGGCUUACUAGUACCUGCCACAUUUGGGAGGUGUUAUGUUUGGGAGACUUUAAAAAAAAUCAAAGAGAUAUUAUUUGGUUAUCACAUAUAGCAGAUGGAAUGUGUUUUGCCACAAAUUUUGCCAAAAAUGUGAUAUCAGUUUUCACAUGCUUAUCAUUUUACUGGAAACUCUUAUAUAUUAAACAUUUAAAAAAAAUAGAGUCAAUUCUAAAGUUGAUCAAGAAAUAUUCAUUUUGAAAUGUAUUGAAAGAUGGCAUACAAACUCUGUAUAUGCUUCUUAUACUGUUCGAUCUCAACUGAUAGGGACAUGCUCCUAUAUUCUAAAAAGCUGACAAAAGUAGAUAGAAGCCAGCAGACCAGAUGCAGCUUAAAGCCUACAAAUUAUUCCAGGACUUGAGCUUCUUUAAGGCUCUAUUUUAAGAUGCAGUACUUGUUUGUUUGUUUCAACAGGAGGGUUAGAAGAUAGAAA